GGACGUCAUGUUGAGGAAACGAAACCUAAAGAGCCACAACGUGGAAGCAGUUCUCUCUUUCGGGAGAAAAAUAACACGCAUUAAAUAGACUGACAGACAGAAAAAACAACAAGGAAUGUCCUGUGCCAACACUUCCGGGUCUGAGCCUCUCGAACUGAAGAGGGUCCAGCAGUAUGAAGUAGAUGUGACUCUGGAUCCUGAUACAGCUCAUCACUGGCUCAUCCUGUCUGAGGAUGGGAAACAAGUACAUGAUGGCGGGAAGCCUCCAAGACAACUGCGAAAACUCCCAGACAACCCUAAGAAAUUUACAAAUGGUACAUAUGUCCUCACGAGGCAGAGCUUCUUCUCAGGGAGAUUUUACUUUGAGGCCCAGGUUAAAGACAAUGCUCAAUGGUGUUUAGGAGUGGCCAGAGAGUCCAUCAACAGAAAAGGUGAUAUCAGAUUAUCCCCUGAGACAGGAUACUGGUUUCUUAACUACUACAAGGAUGGGUUGGUAUUCGGAGAUAACCCUGAUGUCCGUCUCCCUCUGAGAGCUGAGCUCCAGAAGGUGGGGGUGUUUGUUGAUUAUGAUGAGGGUCUGGUCUCCUUCUAUGAUGUGGAAGCCAGGGUUCAUAUCUACUCUGCUACUAGCUGCACCUUCAGUGAGCCUCUCUAUCCAUUCCUCUGCCCAGGUCCCCACAAAUAUGAAGGUACAAACUCUGGCCCCCUGAUCAUCUCACCUGUCAAUCAAACAGACUAGGACCUUUGUUUGAUAAUAAAAUAUUCAAACAUCCAAAA